AUUAUUGCUUUUUAUACUUUUUUAGUCUAUACUGACAGAGUCGUUUUUGUGACGACUAUGGUGAUAAACAUCGUGACGAAUAGAUGAUGUGGACUCGGGGGCAGAGCCCGACAUCUCCACCAUUUUUGGGGAUGAAUAGAUUCGACGCACAUUGAAAAACUCGGUUUUCACUCGUGGUGGUUUACGUUAUAGAACUAAAAUAUAAAUGCGAACGAUAAUUUUGUCGCAUGCAAUGAUAACUUUGCAGAUGAAGCUGUAGCUAUAGCUGCUUAGUUAGAAUAGACGCGGUUUGGGAGAGCCGGGCAACAGAAAUCUCCCGCU
rnacentral:tmRNA from 1 species